rnacentral:lncRNA from 1 species
AUAAACAUUAUUUUGAGUUUGUUUAAUAAAAUAUAGGAUACAAUAUAACUAAGCAAAAUCAAACAGUUUUAGACAACCAAUACAAGAUUUAGAACUUGACAUCGUGAUAAACAAAUUGUACAUUCAGGAACUCGUUUAAAUAUUAUAGGUUGAUUGACGAAUACUCUACAGUUGAUUAGAGCCCAUGAUGAUGCGAAGAUAAUUAAUAUCACCUAACUUCAAGAAACCAGCAUAAAAAAGUUUACAUUCAUAACUCAUCUAACCAUUAUAGAUCAGUAAUGUCGUCAUAAUUUAAAUGAACUCACAGAUAGCAAUGGGGCACUGCACCGAAGCAGUAUUACAAAAUAUGUGAAAUAAAACUGUAAUACAAAUUGCUCUAUAAAAUUUAAUAGAAAUAAAUUUAUUUAUGAAAAUUAAGUUAUGAAGUUUUAUUUUUCCUAGGAAAAAAAUAACAUUUAUAUUUUGAUCAAUUUAGAACAUUACAGUUAAAAAAAUAUGUGUUAGAAUAACAUAUUUUUAAUAAAAUUGCAGCUUUUAAUUUUUAUACUUUUUUGCUUUUAUAUCAAUAAGAACUAACGUAAGGAACAAUUCAUAUUUAUACUAUGAAAACACAUGCAUAUUUUUUGAUGUUUUUAAAACCAGUGAAUGAUGUUGAAAUAUACUACACCUAUUAUUCUUAUUAACUAACUUUAAUUACAAACUUACACAUUAUUGUCAUUGGAAAUAAAUUAAUUUGGAUAUUCUA